ACAGUGUGAUUAGAGUUUUUAUCUCAAUGGAACGAUACAGAGAAGAUUAGCAUGGCCCCUGCACAAGGAUGACAUGCAAAUUCGUGAAGCGUUCCAUAUUUUU